GACGAACGCUGGCGGCGUGCCUAACACAUGCAAGUCGAACGGAAAGGCCCUGCUUUUGUGGGGUGCUCGAGUGGCGAACGGGUGAGUAACACGUGAGUAACCUGCCCUUGACUUUGGGAUAACUUCAGGAAACUGGGGCUAAUACCGGAUAGGAUCUCCUGCUGCAUGGUGGGGGUUGGAAAGUUUCGGCGGUUGGGGCUGGACUCGCGGCUUAUCAGCUUGUUGGUGGGGUAGUGGCUUACCAAGGCUUUGACGGGUAGCCGGCCUGAGAGGGUGACCGGCGACAUGGGGACUGAGAUACGGCCCAGUCUCCUACGGGAGGCAGCAGUGGGGAAUAUUGCACAAUGGGCGGAAGCCUGAUGCAGCAACGCCGGGUGCGGGAUGACGGCCUUCGGGUUGAAAACCGCUUUCGCCUGUGACGAAGCGUGAGUGACGGUAAUGGGUAAAGAAGCACCGGCUAACUACGUG
rnacentral:rRNA from 1 species